CACACACACACACACACACCGGCGUACUGGAACCUCUCUCGCGAUCCCGCACCCAGCUUGAAUUCAGCAAGAAUCGAAAACAGGUGUGCCCCCGUGGGGCGGUUCGAAGAUGGCCGAAUAGGAACAGCUCCAGUCUGCAGCUCCCAGCUUGAGCGACACAGAAGACGGGUGAUUCCUGCAUUUCCAACUGAGGACUGCCGAAGCUGAGAGUAACUACCCCUGGUUUCAUUUCCAACUCAUGAAUUUUUCGCCAUCCUUCUCUGCCCGCCUUUCCUUUACUACACAGUGAGCCGCACUCCUGGAACAAGCUUCCCUUGAAGUUCACCCUCUGAGCGCCACGGCCCCUCUCCAGCCUGCAUUCCACUUGUUCCUGUUUGGCAAAACCAGCAACAUCUGGGCCCACACUACAAAAGGACCCAGAAAAUAUAGUUUAUAGCUUCCUAGCCCCUUUGAUACAGAAAAGCAUGCAAGAAAGGUGGACCAGUCAUCUGCAUCUGUCACAAAAUUGCCCUAAGAACCAGCUUGUCAGCCAUAGAAGAAAACUGUAUCUCAUUAUUUUAUGUUCACAUUUUGCUUUUUGAGAGAAAGCACUGUGAGUAGAUUUGAUCAGAUACUUUAUUUGUGUUGUUGGUUCUGAAAAUCUUUUUAAUCCCCAAAAAAUAAAA
rnacentral:lncRNA from 1 species